AACGAACGCUGGCGGCAGGCUUAACACAUGCAAGUCGAACGCACCCUUCGGGGUGAGUGGCAGACGGGUGAGUAACGCGUGGGAACCUACCUUUUGGUACGGAAUAACUCAGGGAAACUUGAGCUAAUACCGUAUGUGCCCUUGCCGCAAGGUUUGGGGAAAGAUUCAUCGCCAAAGGAUGGGCCCGCGUCGGAUUAGCUAGUUGGUGGGGUAACGGCCUACCAAGGCGACGAUCCGUAGCUGGUCUGAGAGGAUGAUCAGCCACACUGGGACUGAGACACGGCCCAGACACCUACGGGAGGCAG
rnacentral:rRNA from 1 species